GGGGAAUAUUGCACAAUGGGCGAAAGCCUGAUGCAGCGACGCCACGUGAGCGAAGAAGUAUUUCGGUAUGUAAAGCUCUAUCAGCAGGGAAGAUAAUGACGGUACCUGACUAAGAAGCACCGGCUAAAUACGUGCCAGCAGCCGCGGUAAUACGUAUGGUGCAAGCGUUAUCCGGAAUUAUUGGGCGUAAAGGGCUCGUAGGCGGUUCGUCGCGUCCGGUGUGAAAGUCCAUCGCUUAACGGUGGAUCCGCGCCGGGUACGGGCGGGCUUGAGUGCGGUAGGGGAGACUGGAAUUCCCGGUGUAACGGUGGAAUGUGUAGAUAUCGGGAAGAACACCAAUGGCGAAGGCAGGUCUCUGGGCCGUUACUGACGCUGAGGAGCGAAAGCGUGGGGAGCGAACAGGAUUAGAUACCCUGGUAGUCCACGCCGUAAACGGUGGAUGCUGGAUGUGGGGCCCGUUCCACGGGUUCCGUGUCGGAGCUAACGCGUUAAGCAUCCCGCCUGGGGAGUACGGCCGCAAGGCUAAAACUCAAAGAAAUUGACGGGGGCCCGCACAAGCGGCGGAGCAUGCGGAUUAAUUCGAUGCAACGCGAAGAACCUUACCUGGGCUUGACAUGUUCCCGACGGUCGUAGAGAUACGGCUUCCCUUCGGGGCGGGUUCACAGGUGGUGCAUGGUCGUCGUCAGCUCGUGUCGUGAGAUGUUGGGUUAAGUCCCGCAACGAGCGCAACCCUCGCCCCGUGUUGCCAGCGGAUUAUGCCGGGAACUCACGGGGGACCGCCGGGGUUAACUCGGAGGAAGGUGGGGAUGACGUCAGAUCAUCAUGCCCCUUACGUCCAGGGCUUCACGCAUGCUACAAUGGCCGGUACAACGGGAUGCGACGCGGCGACGCGGAGCGGAUCCCUGAAAACCGGUCUCAGUUCGGAUCGCAGUCUGCAACUCGACUGCGUGAAGGCGGAGUCGCUAGUAAUCGCGAAUCAGCAACGUCGCGGUGAAUGCGUUCCCG
rnacentral:rRNA from 1 species